GACGAACGCUGGCGGCGUGCCUAAUACAUGCAAGUCGAACGCAUUUUCUUUCACCGUAGCUUGCUACACCGAAAGAAAGUGAGUGGCGAACGGGUGAGUAACACGUGGGUAACCUGCCCAUCAGCGGGGGAUAACACUUGGAAACAGGUGCUAAUACCGCAUAAUUCCAUUUACCGCAUGGUAGAUGGAUGAAAGGCGCUUUUGCGUCACUGAUGGAUGGACCCGCGGUGCAUUAGCUAGUUGGUGGGGUAACGGCCUACCAAGGCUGCGAUGCAUAGCCGACCUGAGAGGGUGAUCGGCCACACUGGGACUGAGACACGGCCCAGACUCCUACGGGAGGCAGCAGUAGGGAAUCUUCGGCAAUGGACGCAAGUCUGACCGAGUAACGCCGCGUGAGUGAAGAAGGUUUUCGGAUUGUAAAACUCUGUUGUUAGAGAAGAACAAGGAUGAGAGUGGAAAGUUCAUCCCUUGACGGUAUCUAACCAGAAAGCCACGGCUAACUACGUG
rnacentral:rRNA from 1 species